CAACUCCAGCCAUCUGCCCUGCCCUCCGGCCAUCCGCCUGGAGUGUCCCGUUCUGCUGUCAUCCAGCCCCCUAAAUCCUCCACAUCCAGAGGGAAGUGGAGGCUCAGAUGUGGGGCUUUACUUGUAGGAGGCUGCUGGCUCCCUGCCACCAAUACUGUACCAGUGCAGCAAAGUUAAGAAUGCAACAAAAAUGAGCCAGAGCUGUGUAUGAACAGUGGAUUUUUUUUUUUUUUUUUUCAGCGUGCACACAGAAUGGACAGCUAACAGACC